rnacentral:rRNA from 1 species
CAAGCCGCCGCGGGAAUACGGAGGGUGCAAGCGAUAAUCGGAAUUACUGGGCGUAAAGCGCACGCAGGCGGUCUGUCAAGUCAGAUGUGAAAUCCCCGGGCUUAACCUGGGAACUGCAUUUGAAACUGGCAGGCUAGAGUCUUGUAGAGGGGGGUAGAAUUCCAGGUGUAGCGGUGAAAUGCGUAGAGAUCUGGAGGAAUACCGGUGGCGAAGGCGGCCCCCUGGACAAAGACUGACGCUCAGGUGCGAAAGCGUGGGGAGCAAACAGGAUUAGAUACCCCAGUAGUCCCUGUCUCUUAUA